UUUCCAUAAAUAAAUCCGACGUCACUACGCCCCUACCUAAAUGGACUCCAGCACAGUAUAUUAGAAAUGUCUUGUUGGCGCCUGGCCUUUCGCUGAGCUCCCGCCCAAAUGCGUGUGACGUCACGGAGGACGCCGUCGGUGACGCGAAUGUUCCUCAACAAGAAACAGAUGAAAAUAAAACAUCCCAUCUAGGAUGGAAGUUGUCUUUUGCAUUUCAAGCCUUCAUUACCAUUAUGUGCUAUCUGCUACCAACUUGAGUUCCUGCUGCAGUGUGUUGUCUGGACACAGACACACAACCUCCUGCUCCCACAAAUCCUCUGUCCGGCCCAAUUACAAUCAGCAGCCACUGACUGAUGCAUGAGCUGCCGAGCACAUUGCUGUGAAGAGUUUAUUAACUGCUGUUAUGCAAUGUUCAGUUGUUCAAAAGUAAAGGAUUCUGAAAUCGAAUUAUAUUACGUAAUUCAGUCUUGGCUUUGGUAUGGAUUCAGUAUGUGACCCUCAGUAUGUGUUGUUCAAAAUGUUGAUCAAAAUAAAUAAAUACAUACAGUACCAAAAAUAUUAAUAAAUAAUGAUUAUUCUGGGCCCAGCCUAAUCUGAAUCUGAAUGUUGCAGUCCUGUUUUGAUAUCCAGGGUCAGGUUAUCCAUUUUACAUAUUACAUUAUUUUAUUUUAUUUUUGGUGCUGAAAGGAUUAAUAGAUUAUAUUUCUAUCAAAUCAAGAUAAAUUUAAAGUGCAAACUGUUAAUGUGUAUGUAUGCUGCAUUAUACAAACAGUGUUCUCUUUUUGUUUUGUUUUGUUUAGUUUACUUAAAAUGUUUACUUCAGUUAUAACAUUGUGUUCCUUAAUUUCACCCUGAAUCAGCCUAGGGUCAGGAGAAUCCUGUUUUGUUUUUUUUUGUUGUUUUUUUUAGUUUUUAAUACUGAUUUGAUCUAAUAUAAGCCAAAAUCCAAUCAAUUUUCUUUUUAACAGCUGGGCCUUGAAGGUGGACUUCAGGAAUAAAACUUUAUAACUAUAAAUUGAUCAAACUGUUUUGCAUUUUUUUUUUUGUUUAACAAUGACAUUAUUGGCCCCAUAAUAUAAUCCCCGAAACAUCUGUCAUCUGUCAACAUCUGUCUGCCCCCCCCCC